AUAAAUGCGAGGAAAAAGAGGAGUAGACAGGCUUCUGCCGCAAGAGAGAACCAUUCACGGGCUGGAAGGUGGUUUCGGAUCAGAACUGUUGAAGGUAGCUUUGGAGCAGCACAGCUGAACACAGACGGCACAAGCGGCAUGGUUUGGAAAGUAGGUAGUGACGUAUCCUGCGUUAAAGGAGAAUGAGGAUUAUGCGUUUCUUCUAUAUAAUAGUAGGUGUUAUAUCAGAAACAGCCGCAUGAUUGAACAAAGGUGGUACCGCGUUAUAUACGCCCUUUGC
rnacentral:ncRNA from 1 species